rnacentral:ncRNA from 1 species
UAGUAACAACGAACUGUGAGAAGUCAGCAGAGGUCAUAGUACCGGAGGAAACUUCGGGAAGGAC